AUGAGAAUUAAAUGGCCGCGGUAUUUUAACCGUGCAAAGGUAGCAUAGUCACUUGUCUCUUAAUUGGAGGCUUGAAUGAAGGGUUGGACGAGAUAUAAACUUUCUUUAUUGUAAUCAGUUGAAUUUGACUUUUGAGUCAAAAGGCUUAAAUAUAUUUAUAGGACGAGAAGACCCUAUAGAAUUUUAUAUUUUUAUUUUAAUAAUUUAUUUGUUUAUAAUUAAAUUUUUUUUAUAAAAAUAUUUUGUUGGGGCGAUGGGAAGAUUUUUUUAACUCUUUUUUAUUUAAUACAUUGAUAUAUGUUUUUUUGAUCCUUUUUUAGAGAUUAAAAGAUUAAAUUACCUUAGGGAUAACAGCGUAAUUCUUUUGGAGAGUUCUUAUCGAUAAAGGAGUUUGCGACCUCGAUGUUGAAUUAAGAUAAG
rnacentral:rRNA from 1 species